AAAGUACUCCCUCCGUCCCAAAAUUCUUGUCUUAGAUUUGUCUAGAUACGGAUGUACCAAGUCACAUUUUAGUAUUAGAUACAUCCGUAUCUAGACAAAUCUAAGACAAGAAAUUUGGGACAGAGGGAGUAGUUG
rfam:Triticum aestivum genome assembly, contig: Triticum_aestivum_CS42_TGACv1_scaffold_406181_5BL